rnacentral:lncRNA from 1 species
AAUAGAACUGCUCACUGAAGAAAGCAGCUUGCUCCACAGCGGGUUCCUACUACUCUUGGGUAAGACGGAUAUCAUGAAUACCUUCCAGGUGGCAUAAUUAUUACACGUUGCUCAUUUUCGUUUGGGUAAUAGUUAAAAAUGGUGGUGCAUGAAGCACCUGUCGUAAAAUGCAAUUCAUUUGAAACCGUGAAAUGGGAGGUGACCCUAAAUCUUAAACAUAAAUCUAUUGUCAUUAUUUAUAUAUGGCAUUAGAUACUAUUAAUAAUUUGUAACUAUUCUUCUCCUCUAUUUGUACACCGUCACUCAUCUCUCAAUUCAUGAUAUAUGAAACCAUCAAGGAGCGUAGCUCAUGGAAAUUGGAGCUCCAUUUUAACAUAUGCCUUGCAUUUACUUCAAGACUAUGGCAAAAACCCAUUUUGCUCCCCUCUUUUGAUGUGAAACCAAGUGGGUUUUAAUUUGUCAGUUCUCACAUACAAAAGGGCAUCAUGAGUAAACUCUGCCUCUUUUCCUCCUUUAUGAGUUUCCAAGAUUGUGCUAGGUGCUUUUAAGUGAAGGAGAAGGCUUAUCGAGAAAAUUCAGGGAAAUUAAAAAAAUGGAAAAACCUUCAGAGAGAGGGAGGUAAUGCAUGGAUGGUUGGCAGACUUAAACAAUUAUAAAAAAUUAUGCCCUCUUAAAAGGCAGGGUGUUCCAGAAGUAAGAGGAAAAAGUAAAAACUUGUAUUAAUUCUUUGGCCGACUGGUAUUGGACGGUUUUGACUUUUUGGUGACCUGUAUGGAUAUGAAUAUAACUUGGAUGGAAAGGUGGCUGGGUCUUGAUCCUAGCGUUGGAUCGGCCAACUCUGGUAGCAUUUGCUACAAGUUGAUGUUUGCAAAAGUUUUCUUCCUCCAGAAGGAGCAGGCUGGGAAGUAUUGCCCUAAGAGGACUUCAUAUGUCUACAGGGGCCAUAAUAGGUGCAGGCCCUGUCCAAUCAUAUUCGUAUAUUUUUAGUACUCAGCACAAUAUGUUAAAGAAGCGUGACAUGCUAGAUUUGGGUUGGGCAUGUAUCUUUUAGAAGCUAAAAUAUGUGGUGACUAUGAGUAUUUCACUGUCUUCAAUCAGAAAUGUGUUUCCCUUGUUUUAGUUUCGCUAGAUAUUUGGCACGAUCCCACCUUUGCGAUUGGGAUUGAAUUUUUGGUUUUUAAGUAUUUGGGUUCUACUUCAUGCUUUAUAUCCAAUGUUGAAUGAUUUUCCGUGAGUGACAUUGCAAUCUGCCAGCAAAUAUAUUUCAAGGUGUCACAUAAUAUCACAUUCUCGAGAUAUGCAUAAAUAUGACCAUCAAAGCUUGAUGUCCUUAUGUUGAUUAUUUCCUAUAUUAUUACAUAUAAUUUUAUUUGAUAUAUUUUUGUAGUUAAUGUUUUUUCUCAACUUUUUGCAGGUUACGGCUUCUGCUUGGUUGAAUGACCUGAGGAAUCAGAUUGAACGCACCAGGGUUCUGAGCACAGUUUAUCGCUCUGCUUCAGCUUUGGGUUCUCGACUUCCAUCCAUGGCCAGUGCUAAAGCCAAAGUUGCUGGUGCUGGUGCAAUAUUACGUCCAGUUUCCAGCGGUACUCAGGUAUGUAUAUUGCGGUCAUGCAAUCAGUUCUGCUUUGGAUUGUUGUGGCAAGGGAAAAUAGCAGCUGAGGUGCCCCAACCUUUGAUGUGUUGCACUUUGGUCUGUAACCUCUAAUAUGAAGCAUUUUUGUCCCAAGGUUUCAUUUUAGUUUUAGUAGCACAUGGUCCUCAGGUCGACAACUUUACCCAUAUUUUUAGUCAACAAGUCAAAAUUUUAUUAAAAAAGACGAUUUCACCCUUAUUUUAUGUAGACAAAAAAUGAAAUAAAUAACCAAAGAAACAAUUAGGAAUAAAAGAGAAGGCAAAGGAAAAAUGGGAAAAAAACAAAGAGAACAAUUUGGGUUCUCUUCUCCAGUCGGUCACCCCACCACCAUACCACCCUCCUCUAAUCUCCAUUUGCCACCAGUGACCAGCCAACCAUACUUGUAGAGACAUAAACCAGCUGCAACCAACAACCUUCAAAACUGAACCCUCAGAACCCCCAAGUCUAGUCUGUAUUCAACCACCCAAAGAAAUAAAACUGCGAGAGAGAUUGUUCAAUAUGUUUAUAGCAACACAGAAAAAAAAAUGCUAGUUUAAGCAUGUCUCCAUAAAUUUUAGGUAAAAAUUGUACUUGUGAAUUUUUUCUUUCUUUCUCCUUGUCUCUGUUAAAUGAAAAAUGAAGGAAUACUCUAGUAACAUUCAUUUUAAUUUUAUACUAAAUUUCUUGUACGGUCUAAUCCGGUUCGCCAAACACACCCUUGACGGUUUUGCUUUAUGCACUAGAAGUACAUCUCUGAUUGACACUGUGAUAUGGGUUUGAGAAUAUGACCCUAGAGGCUGUCCAUUUUGCCUUCCCUAUCAGUACCACUAACAAAAUACUGGGAGCUUCAUAAUGUGAGGGGUGGUAUUACCUUUAACCAUAUGUGCCUAUGUAUACUUUUUGAUCUUUAUAAUUCCAGAUGUAUUUAGUUCUAUUAUAUAGGACUGAUGUUGUUGUGUUAACUAGGUUGUUAUGAAGAGAGCACAAAGCAUGGCUCAGGCAGCUUGGUCACGCCCUUACCUACGCUCAUGGUCAUGCAUAGGUCCACGUCGUCGAUCCUCAAUUGCUCAGAUAAAUUAUAAUGAAGGAGAAGACUCAUCAGGAUCUUCUUCAACUCAAAGAGAAACUUCGGAGCCUUUUCUCACGACCACUGAAGAGACAAGAACGGCUAUUGAAAAUAUGGAACUUCCUGUAUCUUCUUCUGAUGGAAUGGUUGAGAGUUCAGACAACUUUAUAGAUGAGGUUGGUGUCUCAGAUAGUAUGGCUACUAAGGAUGAUGAUGACGAGGUUGCGUAUGAUGUAAGGCAUGAAGAUCACACAAUGGAAAUAGAGUUGUGGGAACAACUCGAGCUCAAGCUUAAUGAGCAAGCUGAUAGUGGUGAAGCCGAUGUGGCCAAGGAAAUUAGGGAAGAAGAAGAAGCAGCCAUUGCAGAAGUAAGUGACAGCCAGACCCAAAGCUCUAUCCCAGAUGCCAAGGAGGUGCAUAGAUUUUUCCCUCCGGGAAAGAUAAUGCAUAUUGUGACACUAACAUCCGACGAAGUGGGCCGUGAGAGUGAUAGCAGUAUUUCCAAUGACGGGGACCAAAGCCAGCCGGAGGAAGAGGCGAAGGUUGGAAUUUUUCUCACUCCCAGGUCAUUGUAUAGUAAAUUAAGGCUAUCGCAUACCAUGAUAAACGACCAUUUUAUGCCGGCUUAUAGAAGACGAAUUGAAAAGCUGAUUAAAGAACUUGAGAAUGAAGUGACUUCUGAUACACACAAUUGUAGCUGAGAAAUUGAACAGGAAGUGCUGUAAACUGUUGGUAGUGAAUUUUGGUCGCAUCUUAAGUGUUAGCAUCAAGAGGACUACACAUAUCCUUAAAGGUGACGUCUUUAACCACAAUUCUUUGUUCUGAAAAUGAUUUUGACAUGUGCAUAGGCUUAAAGAGUUUUCAUUUCCAUUGAUAGUGAGAGUCCCUUUCGCAAUCAUGAAUUCUAUAUUACAUCAUUAAAAGCAUUAUUUUCUUUGGUCCAUCGUCUAUUAUAAAUACACCAAUCACCAUAUGAAUGAGAAAAUGUUGCCUAACUUAUUUAACAAUUUUAAUGCCCACUUGACUCUUUGCACCACUUUGAAUCUCUAAAUCAUUUCAUUUAAUUCUUAAUUUGCUUUGAAAAGACAUUCUCUUUUUCUUGGCCACCCAUAAUUUGCACGUAAUGAUCCUACAAUCGCUAGUGUGUACGCACGAAUAUAUUCAAGUUUAUACACGAGGACGAGGAAGGUAAACGUGAAAGAAUGUGUUACAAGAGACGCAUAAGAAGUCGACUAGAAGUUCGUACACCUCCAAAUUUGUUUCUUGAUUCUAUUUUGAUCUUAUUCGCAAAAGACCAACAAUAAGAUUCAUUCUAGUUUAUCAAAAUCCAAGAAAAAUUUAAAAUGGAUAUGAAGUAGAAGAGGCAAAAGUCGGAGCAAAAAUGGCCUUUGAUUUGUCCAUGCAUUUAUUUCUUAGAAUGGGCAUGCAAAGUCUACCAUAGUUUGGGGCAAAAUUAAAUGAGGUAGAUAUAAAUUAAUGAGAAUGUGAAAGAAACCUAACAUUGCAUCAAACGAUUUCUUCUUUGCAUAAUAAAAAAGAAUGAUUUUCUUUCUUUUUUUUUUAUUAUUAUUUUAGUGUAAAAAAUGAAUAAAAGUUUUUAGUUUCACAUUUGGAUAGUCCUGAAAUCUAGCUGGAAAAUGAAAAUAACACGUCUGAGUGGAACACGUGGCAACAAACCAUUGAUUGAUACGGCAUAAAGAAAGCAACAUAAUCCUUCUUCUUUAUAUACGCAGAUAACACGGAGUCGACGAAUAACAGUAAUAUACAAAUUACUUCAUACCAGCGACUGUUUACGUGUACUCUACCUCCAUUAAUCGAUCUCUCUUUUUAAAAUUUAUUUGAUUUGAUUUGAUUGAUUCACAUUCAUAUUCAAAAAUCUCUCUAUACCAAAUCAUCGUAUCCAGUUUUCUGAAAUGUCUUUCAUGCACACGUUCUUCGUUCCUGAGGAAGCCAAGGUGGGCGACUGGGAGAAGGAAAGAUAAGAAAACCCAAAUUAAACAGGAUUUACUUGUAGAUAUCCCUCUUGAUCAGGUAAUUUCUUGGCAGAAUUCUGUUUUUUAUUUCAUGAAAAACCCAUGUUUAGAUUCAUCAUGUUUGUGUGAAUUUGUGGUUUUUCAGGCAUGUCGACGAGUGUAUUCGGUGAUUCGAUGGUGAAAAUUACAGGACAAAAUGAGCUUGAUUUUGUCGAAUGCGAUUGCUGUGGAUUGACAGAGGAAUGCACCCUGUCCUACAUAGAGACAGUACGCGAGCGUUAUAAGGGAAAAUGGAUUUGUGGGCUCUGUUCCGAGGCCGUAAACGAUGAAGUUAAGCAAAAAUCAAUAAGCCCAGAAGAGGCCAUGGCUCGCCAUUUCAGCUUCUGCUACAAAUUUAGGUUGGCUGGGCCACCGCCGGACCCAACCCGGCAUUUGAUCACCGCCAUGAGACAGGUUUUAAGAAAAAGCUUAGACAGUCCCAAGUUCAUAAGGUCGAUGCCAAGUAGUCCCACGAAGAACAGGGGAGAUAUUAGCAUGGGGCUUACUCGAUCGGAGAGCUGUAUUCCGAGUCUGUCUGAAUCGGUUUGUUGUGGAAUUGAUGAAGAUUGUGAAUAACCAGUAAAUUCAAAGUUUCACUGUGUAUAAACAAGAAACCAAUGAAGUUUAACUCAAAAAGUGCUUAAUUCAGAUGUAUCAAUAUCAUCAAUCAUGUUAAGAAAUGAAAAUGGAAAUAAAAAUUACUUGCCUAUAAUUUGUGUCUGGUGUUUUCUUUCAAUUAUGUGGUUAACAAUAAUUGAGAUUCAUAUUCAGAUUUUAUAAUGAUAGGCUAUUGUCAUGUCUGUAUCUUGACGCGAAUCGAAUUGAAUACAAGCAAGCAAUUUG